UCAAGCUAUAAAGAGCGUAGGGAGAAUGACUUGGCAUCAGGAGCCGAAGAAGGACGUGACAAGCUGCGAAAAGCUGCGGUUAGGAGCAAAUAUCCAUAGACCCGCAGAUAUCCGAAUGGGGAAACCCGGUACGGCAAUACCGUAUCACUGCAUGGUAAAUACAUAGCCAUGUGGAGGAAACCCUCUGAACUGAAACAUCUAAGUAGGAGGAGGAAGAGAAAGAAACAUCGAUUUCCUAAGUAGCGGCGAGCGAAAGGGAAAGAGGCCAAACCAGAGAUAGCAAUAUCUUUGGGGUUGCGGACUGCAUAAUUGAUUCAAUAUUUUUAGCAGAAGUGUAUGGGAAGACACACCAUAGUAGGUAAUAGUCCUGUAAGCGAAAAGGAUAUUGACAAGGCAGGAUCCAGAGUACCACCGGACACGAGGAACCCGGUGGGAAGCCGGGGGGACCACCCCCCAAGCCUAAAUACUACCUGAUGACCGAUAGUGAAAAGUACAGUGAUGGAAAGUUGAAAAGAACCCCGGAAGGGGAGUGAAAAAGAAUCUGAAACCCUAUGUUUACAAGCUGCUAAAGCACCAUAUGAGUGCGAUAGCGUACUUUUUGUAGAACGGUCCGGCGAGUGUAUGUUGCAAGCGAGGUUAAGGUGUUAAGCACUGAAGCCGAAGGGAGACCGAGUGUGAAUAGCGCGUACAGUUUGCAGUAUACGACCCGAAACCGGGUGACCUAACCAUGGACAGGUUGAAGUGGAAGUAAAAUUCCAUGGAGGACCGAACCCACGUCUGUUGAAAAAGGCGGGGAUGAGCUGUGGUUAGCGGUGAAAUUCCAAUCGAACUCGGAUAUAGCUGGUUCUCAUCGAAAUAGCUUUAGGGCUAGCCUCAGGAUAGUUUAGCGGAGGUAAAGCACUGAAUGGGCUAGGGGGCUUCACGGCUUACCGAACCCUAUCAAACUCUGAAUGCCGCAUAAAUGUUUCCUGGGAGUCAGACUGCGUGAGAUAAGUUUCGUAGUCAAAAGGGAAAGAGCCCAGACCUACAGCUAAGGUCCCUAAAUGAAUUUAAGUGGAAAAGGAUGUGCAGUUGCGUAGACAACUAGGACGUUGGCUUAGAAGCAGCCACUCAUUUAAAGAGUGCGUAAUAGCUCACUAGUCGAGUGAUUGUGCGCCGAAAAUGUAACGGGGCUAAAAUUCAUACCGAAGCUUAGGAAUGAUAGUAAUAUUGUUGGUAGAUGAGCGUUGUGUAAGUCUGCGAAGCUACACCGAAAGGAGUAGUGGAGAUAUCACAAGUGAGAAUGCCGGAAUGAGUAGCGAGAAUUAUGUGAGAAUCAUAAUGGUCGAAAAUCUAAGGUUUCUUGAGGAAGGUUCGUCCGCUCAAGGUAAGCCGGGAGCUAAGGCGAGGCCGAGAGGCGUAGUCGAUGCACAUACGGUAAAGAUUCCGUAGCCACCGAAGUCGUUAAAUACAGGGACACAGGAACAUAGCCUAACCCCACCGUUGGUUGAGUGGGGCGUAAGGGAGCGAAAAAUAGUAGCGAAGUAGGUGAUUGUACACUGGCGAGAAAAGCUGUAUGAAUUGACAAGGUGCCCGUACCGCAAACCGACACAGGUAGAUGAGGAGAGAAUCCUAAGACCAGCGGGAGAAGUGUUGUUAAGGAACUCGGCAAAAUGACCCCGUAACUUCGGGAUAAGGGGAGCCUACGAGAGUAGGCCGCAGAGAAUAGUCUCAAGCGACUGUUUAGCAAAAACACAGGUCUAUGCUAAAUCGAAAGAUGAUGUAUAUGGGCUGACGCCUGCCCGGUGCUGGAAGGUUAAGGGGAAGUGUUAGAGCAAUCGAAGCACUGAACUUAAGCCCCAGUAAACGGCGGCCGUAACUAUAACGGUCCUAAGGUAGCGAAAUUCCUUGUCAGGUAAGUUCUGACCCGC
rnacentral:rRNA from 1 species